GACAGAGGUGCCAAGCGUUAGGCGGAAUCACUGGGCUUAAAGCGUGUGUAGGCGGAUUUGUAAGUACCUUGUGAAAUCCCACGGCUCAACCGUGGAACUGCUCGGUAUACUGCUUAUCUUGAGCCACUUAGGGGCUACCGGAACAAAUGGUGGAGCGGUGAAAUGCGUAGAUAUUGGGAGGAACACCAGUGGCGAAGGCGGCUCACUGGACCGGUUCUGACGCUGAGGCGCGAAAGCGUGGGGAGCAAACGGG
rnacentral:rRNA from 1 species